rnacentral:lncRNA from 13 species
CCGCCCCUGGACCCUUGCACUCAGCCACUGUGUGACAGGAUCUCUGAACGUCCCCAUUUUAGAUGGUGGGACUGAGAUCCAGAGGGAAAAAUGACUCGUCCAAAUCUGCACAGCUGGGACUCAGCAGAGCCCGACACACAACAUUUGGGGCUCUCAAAGAUGAGAACAUCCAGCUGGAAAUGCCUCAGAGACCACCUUGUUCCACCAAUGGCCAGUCAAGGCCAGACGCACCUGAGAUCACUCAACAGCAUCAAACCCGAUAAGCCAGGGUUUCCCCGAACGCAAGCACACCCAAGUAGGACCAGGACAUCUUCUCUGCCAGACCCCAGGCUGGGGACAGCACACGAAGAUGAACCGGCCAUGAUCUCCAUCCUCUGGAAGCUCAGCUCAGGCCAACUAACAUUGAUUGAGCACCUUCUGUGUGUGGUGCUGGGGGUAGCACCACACUACUCAGAACUACUUAGAACCCAGCACUUCUCCACUAGGCACCGUCAUCGCCUGCUGGGACUGGUGCAGUAGCCUCCUCACAGGACUCCCUGCUUCUGUCCUCGCCCCAAGCCUUACAAUCCAUUCUGCAAAUGGAGCUCAGCAGGGUCUCUACAAAUGAUAAAUCAGAUCACGUCUCGGCUGCUCGAAACCCUCCACUCACCCUGACAUAAAAAUGAAAACUUACCUUCAGAGUGGAGAGAUCUGGGGAGUCACCACCUGACCAAUCUGAAAUCACUGGGACCACCUGACAUUUUGGGCCUCCUGGUGGCAUAAGAUAUAAGGAAGACAGCCCCACUUGGGCUCAACUUAUUCAAGGCAUUUCUCUUUACUAGGGAGGCGGAACCCAUUAAAUGUCCCCGUAAGGAGACCAUCAGAUACCACAACUGUCCUGGACUCUUCAUAAGAGUCACAAUUGCCAAACACACCCCAAAUGGCCCUCAAUGGGAGAAUGGGUAAACUGUGGCUUCUCCACACAGUGCCUACAGUUCAGCUCAAAAGGCUACAGGACACACGUGUAAUGUGAAGCACUCACUUUGUGCUGAGCAAAAGAGGCCUUGGACACAGCAUACACACUGCAUGUUCCAUUUCCCUGAAGUUCUAGGACAGUCUAAGCCAAUCUGUGCUGAAAGAAGUGAGGAUCUGUGAGUGCCUCAUGCGGGGCAGGGAUUGCCUGGCAGGAGGCAGAGGGACCUCCCGGGAGUCUCAAAUGUUCUGUAUCUUCAUCUGGGAGAUCACACAUGUACAAGUUCCCAAGCUGCUCA